GAUGAACGCUAGCGGCAGGCCUAACACAUGCAAGUCGAACGGUAACAUGAAGAGCUUGCUCUUCGAUGACGAGUGGCGAACGGGUGCGUAACGCGUAUGCAACCUACCUCUAACUAAGGGAUAGCCCCGAGAAAUCGGGAUUAAUACCUUAUAACACUGCGAAAUCACAUGAUUUUGCAUUUAAAACUCCGGUGGUUAGAGAUGGGCAUGCGUGACAUUAGCUAGUUGGUGAGGUAACUGCUCACCAAGGCUACGAUGUCUAGGGGGCCUGAGAGGGUGAUCCCCCACACUGGUACUGAGACACGGACCAGACUCCUACGGGAGGCAGCAGUGAGGAAUAUUGCACAAUGGACGAAAGUCUGAUGCAGCCAUGCCGCGUGCAGGAUUGACGGCCCUAGAGGUUGUAAACUGCUUUUAUAUAGGAAGAAACCCCUUUACGUGUAGAGGGCUGACGGUACUAUAAGAAUAAGCACCGGCUAACUCCG
rnacentral:rRNA from 1 species